AGCUUUCUGUGAAGACUUUGGCAAUGAGGAAGAUUGGUCUGGAAAAUUGAACGCCAAUUGGAAUGGAUUAAGAAAAGAAAAAUAGCAAAAACCAUUCGAAUUGCAGAAGGCAAGCAUUUUGAAAUUACGCUUGCACUGGCGUAAGUGUAUCUGAAUAUAUGCACUGUAUGUAGUCAUUUGCGGCCAUGCUAGAGCACCACCUUUAGUCGAACAAAUCAACCCCAGGACUUAUUCUUUGUCACUGCCUGGAAUCGAACUCGGAAUCUUGGGGUUAGUAGCCCGCGCUUUAAACCACU